rnacentral:rRNA from 1 species
CCAGACUCCUACGGGAGGCAGCAGUAGGGAAUCUUCGGCAAUGGGCGAAAGCCUGACCCAGCAACGCCGCGUGAAGGAAGAAGGCUUUCGGGUUGUAAACUUCUUUUCUCAGGGACGAAGCAAGUGACGGUACCUGAGGAAUAAGCCACGGCUAACUACGUGCCAGCAGCCGCGGUAAUACGUAGGUGGCAAGCGUUAUCCGGAUUUACCGGGUGUAAAGGGCGUGUAGGCGGGAAAGCAAGUCAGAUGUGAAAUCCAUGGGCUCAACCUGUGGCCUGCAUUUGAAACUGUUUUUCUUGAGUACUGGAGAGGCAGACGGAAUUCCUAGUGUAGCGGUGAAAUGCGUAGAUAUUAGGAGGAACACCGGCGGCGAAGGCGGCCUGCUGGACCGUAACUGACGUUGAGGCUCGAAAGCGUGGGGAGCAAACAGGAUUAGAUACCCUCGUA